UACUUGAUAUAGGUCAUUGUCAAUGUCAACUAUCAUUAUACUGACAUUUGAAGUUGUUGUUUUUUUCUAAAUUACCUCCCUUAUAUAUGCAUUUUUCUUCAUUCAUUUUAUUGAUAAUUACUUCCCUUUAUGUUUAGCAAAAAUUCUCAGAUUGCAUUUAAUUAACUCCCUUUAUUUAACAUGAAAAAUUCUCUUGUGUAAUGAUUAUUUGUAUAUUUUACUUACAGUGUCUGAUACAUGUAGUUGCAGUCUGUCUUUGGAAGCUGUAGAAAUAACAAGAAAGAGGCUGACAUAGUGUUUUGGUAGGGAAAAGUUUGAGUAUGUACAUGUACAGUUGUUUGACCUGUCUUACCCUGUGGCAGUCCAAGAAGAUGUUACCAUUAUGAAAAAUGCAGGAGAACUUGAAGACAAUGGUUAGUGUAGAAGGGACAUAAAAGUUAUGGCAAAAGUAACAGAUAUAAAUAAGAAGUGCUACAAGUGUGUUGUCAUGUGAAAUAGAAUUUACCCCAACUGUGCUGCAAGAUGUAUUCAAGUGCAAGACAGCCAUGCACCAGCUGUAAACUGAGAUGGACCCAUAUAAUAAAUAUGUUGACUUUUCUAUGUAUUAUCAUCUGUACAGAAUGUGUUCAUGACAAGACUGUAUACAUAUAUUGUUAAAUCAUUUUUUUAUUUCCAUUAUUGCAUGCAUGUAAGAAGCAAGCAUUUAACAAUUGCAUUCAUAGAAGUGUUAAAAUGUGAUCAAUUUAAUUCAAAGAAACACAUUUAAUUGGACUUUUUAAGUUUCAUAGUAUUUGUGGUGGAGACUGACCCAGUCAUUCAGCAACUUAUACUGUCUGUGUGUCAUUUCUUGUAUGUUAUAGUUUUCUUAAUAAUACAUUAAAUGUCAAAGUUAUGGUCAGAUGAACUCAUUCAUCACUUGUAGAUUAAUGUUAAAGCAGUUCAACAUUUAACCAUAAGUUAACUAAUAUUCUAUUUAACCAGAGUUGUCACAUAUUUUCAUAUAAAUAUUUGUAUAAUACAGUCUAAUCUAUUCUACAUAUGAUGUUCCACAAUUUUUUAGUUAUAUUUUAUGUUGAUAUUUUAUGUUGUUUUCAUGUCUCAACAUAUAAUUACUAACAUCAAAGAAACUUAAGUAUUUUACAAUUUGGUUGGUAUAAAUGGUUGUUUUGUUUAUAUAUUUUAUUUUUUUCCAUCCAGGAGGAUAAAGAAAUAUACAUUUCAAAAUAUCUCAUCAUUCCAGAUAAGUACACUACAUAAUCAAGAUAAAAGAAAUAAGAACAAAAUAUGUUGGUGGAAUUUUAUUUUCAAAAAUUUGAUAUACAGUCUUUGUAGUAUUUACUUCUUUAGAUAUGUUGGACUGAAAUGGGAAUAACAACAUACUUUAAAUUUUUGUAGUCAUAAGUUAAUAUGGGAAUUAUUAACUUAACUUAAAAAUAUUUUAUCUCACUGUUAUGCCAUCUGAGCUUUAAUAUUUUUCAGCAUUGUCAUUGGCAACAAGGCUCAAAAUUAUUUGUUGUAUAUACCUUGCAUUCAUGUGUGAUAAAUGCUUUUAUGGUAUUCUUUAAUAUAAUUUAUGCUUUUCAUCUUACCAUGGAUUAAAAAAAUAUAAAUUUAUUUGUCUGAAAAUUAAGGUAAAAAUACUGACUGAUUAAAUUGCAAUAUAAGAAAGCUUAUUUGAGAUAAAGGGAGGUAAUUCCAUAAAAAAUAUGUAGAAUGUAGAUGAUAAAUGUAAUGAAGGGAGGUAAUAAAAUAUUGUGAAGUUAUUAGUCUUCAUUUCUUUGAUGAGCUAAUUAAUUGUUUUACAUUUUGGUUUAUUAACUACAAGUAUGACCUAACAUGUGUACCUGUCCUGAAGGAAAAUAAAAUAGGUUGUUUGA